CGUUUCUAUGUGUGUAUGUGUACAAGAACAUGCUUGUACAUGCAUACACACACACACACACACACACACACACACACACACACACACACACAUA
rnacentral:miRNA from 1 species